rnacentral:rRNA from 1 species
AGAGUGAACGCUGGCGGUAGGCCUAACACAUGCAAGUCGAACGGCAGCACGGUAAGAGCUUGCUCUUAUGGGUGGCGAGUGGCGGACGGGUGCGGAAUACAUCGGAAUCUACCUUUUGGUGGGGGAUAACGUAGGGAAACUUACGCUAAUACCGCAUACGCCCUUCGGGGGAAAGCCGGGGACCAGCAAUGGCCUGGCGCUGAUAGGAUGGACGCGUAGU